rnacentral:lncRNA from 1 species
UCACCGGAUGGAGAAGGGCUCCAGGACCCAGGUGCGGAGCAGGCGGCACUCUGGGGAGCAGAUGGGUAGGAAAACAGGUGGCGUUGGGGCAUAGCCCCUCCAGGGCAGUGGGGUCACACGCCUGCCCAGGCCACUUCUGCCCAAUCAGAGAGCAGGGAGCCACUAGACACUGGCAAUGGCCCCCGGAAGUGACGCCUUCUCCUCCCACCCGCGCAGGACCUGGAGCCCCUGCCUGGACCAUGGUUCACUAGCGGAGCCCCAGAUCCUCCACCCACGCACACCACACAGAGGAUUUGAACAGGGGGAUCUGUCUUUCCCUAGGAGAUGGGAAAUCUGGGACCUGGUUGGGGGAGAAGAUGGGAGGGAAACAGGUUUUUUCCAGGAGGAUUCUGGCAGGACACUUUUGUCCCUGAGGAAGAGGCACGGAGGUCUGGCUUUAGAAUGA